GGGGGUGUCCUGGUUUCGACAGGGGAUCUGCUGGAUUAGACGGGCGUGUCGAGGUUGAUCACCCGGCCUCGUAAAAAGGUGAUUAAAAUGUAUAAUUGGCGAAAGUAAUUUUGCUAUGGCUGCCUAGUUAAUUCUAUUGCAGCAUUGAGGGCCCGGUUACCAAGAA
rnacentral:tmRNA from 1 species